rnacentral:rRNA from 1 species
UGGGGGAUAUUGCACAAUGGGCGAAAGCCUGAUGCAGCGACGCCGCGUGGGGGAUGAAGGCUUUCGGGUUGUAAACCUCUUUCGCUAUCGAACAAGGCCCGCUUAGGGUGGGUUGAGGGUAGGUGGAGAAGAAGCGCCGGCUAACUACGUGCCAGCAGCCGCGGUAAUACGUAGGGCGCGAGCGUUGUCCGUGACUAUUGGGCGUAAAGGGCUUGUAGGCGGGUUGUUGCGCCUGCGGUGAAAACGCGGGGCGUAGCUUAGCGCGUGUAGUGGGUACGGGCAGGUAUACGUGUGGGAGGGGUGACUGAGAUUACAGGUGUAGCGGUGGAAUGCGCAGAUAUAUGGAGGAACACCGAUGGCGAAGGCAGGUCACUGGGCCAUUACUGACGCUGAGGAGCGAAAGCAUGGGUAGCGAACAGG